UACGGAGGAUCCAAGCGUUAUCCGGAUUUAUUGGGUUUAAAGGGUGCGUAGGCGGGCUUAUAAGUCAGCGGUGAAAGUUCUCGGCUCAACCGAGGAAUUGCCAUUGAAACUAUGAGCCUUGAGUGUAGAUGAGGUGGGCGGAAUUCGUAGUGUAGCGGUGAAAUGCUUAGAUAUUACGAAGAACUCCAAUUGCGAAGGCAGCUCACUGGGCUACAACUGACGCUGAGGCACGAAGGUGCGGGGAUCAAACAGG
rnacentral:rRNA from 1 species